UUCCUUUCAAUUUUUUUCCCUUCCUUUUCCUUCCUCUCAUCUUCACCUCAAACAAACACACGAUAAUGAUAUUUUGUCUCUUUCUCUAUCUCAUUCCCUGGUUUCGAUUUUCUCUGAAUUCAAAUCUCAACUAAUGUACUAGCACAGUACCACCACAUCCUCCUCCUCCUCAUUUUAAGCAACAAGCUACAACAACACCACUCACCGAAGGAGAAAGAACAGAUCGUUUUUUUGUUCUCCAGAGUUUUUGAAGGCGAAGUGCUUGAUGAAUUGUGAAGUCCCAUUGAUUCUGGAGCACGAGAAUGAGCAGCAGCUUCAACAGACUUCUUGCUAUGGCGAUUGCGGAAUUAGCUGAUGGCGAGGCCGAGGCCGAGGGCGACCCCAUGAAAGCCGCUUAUGGCGAGGACGAGGCGACGGGGGACUUCGAGGUGGAUAGUGACAUCAAGGUGGUGAUGAUGGUGUUAGCGAUUCCCCCGAUCGUCAUGGAUUACGACCAGAAUGGGAAUUUUUCCACCUAUGUCGACUUCAACAUCACUGUCCAUCUAGUAGUCCCCGGCGCCUUCGUCCUCGCCAUCAGCGGUUUUCAUGACGUCACGAUCGCUCUCGGCAAUGCCGAGGCCGGCGACGAAGACAUCAACAUGCACCCGGGCAAUGGUGAAUUGGUGAUAUGGCCGGCAACGAGAAUUGGAGAACAGGUUGAUUUCUCGGUUUGAUUCUCAAUUCUGGAUCACAGAAAAGAGAAUUGCACUUCUUAUUUCUCUUUGUGUGCACAAGCCUCAAUAAUUCUUUUGGUUUGGAAGAGAUCAAUAGUUUGUUGAAGUGUUCUCACAUUUCAAAUAUAUCGUUUUCCUGCUUCAAUUGGAUAACACUGCAAAUAUUUUUAAGAAGCUUACCUUACAGACGAGUUUAGUGUACAAUCCAUUAUGUGGAGUUGAGAAUUAAGAAGCUUGAAACUUUUAAAAACAUUAGAGUUGAGGAUUGUGAAUUUGUGACGUGUUGUGUGUGUGUGUGUGUGUGUGUGUGUGGAUUGUGGUAUUGCGACACCUUUGCAUGAAAAUUGUGAAUUUGUGAUCCUUAAAAACGUACAUAAUUCUUACACGAUAUCAAUUGGCUGAGUUUGAGCUGUGUGUCCUUGGUAAUCUUUGCCCAGAAACUGUGGAGGAAGCUUUUGCUAUGGUUCCAUCUAUAAAGGUGCGAGCUUUGUUUGAUGAUGCUGGAAAACAGGUUGAUGUAGCCACAUCCUCUAUAUCGUACAGGUUUGUUAAUUCUUAGUACAGAAGAAGGCAUGAUGUGUUGCUAGACUUUUGCUCAUGUUCAUUAGAAAUCAUUCAAAAUCAUUAUGUGAUGCCAUAAUGGUUGGCUUGACAUUUCCCUGAUCUGCAUUUGAAAGUGCAUCCAUUUACACGUGCGCAUUGAAUUAUUAGAUUGCAUAGAUAGUAGAGAACUUAUGAGUGCAGUAUUAAUAAAUCUUUUGUUUGUUGAUCAGUGCAAUAUUAUUUUGAGUGGAAUAUAAUUUGAUGAAGUUCAUAAGACUGAUGCAGCAACUAAGUGGCCUUUAUGUUCAUCUGAGAAUCGGCCCCUAUAUCUGUGUUGAUGGAAUUUCGGUAAACUCUUUGUAUCAUGCUUUAUUUGUUCUAACUCAGACUGGAAGAUUAAGAAGUUAGGAAAUGAAUGCAAUGGUAAUCAAUAAGAAUUAACUAAUAUAUGUGACUUUGGACUUAAGAGCAUCAGCCUAUGAUUUUACAUUACUAGAAUGGAGUUAAAAAUGUGUAGUCACAUUGCCUUCAUUACUUAUAUUCUAUUGGAUCUGAAGAAACUAGAGAUGCAAUGGUAGUAUAUUUUGGCAUUGUAGUCAGAUUCUAUUAAUGAAAUUGGAGAGAGAAUUUUAGGCUCUCAAUUGAGGAAACUGCUAUGUCAUGAUCAUUUAUGAAUUGUGACUGGUGUUUUAUUUUUUAUAAACUGUUAUUGUCAUGAUCAUUCUACCUUGCUCACUCAUUACUUAUUUAACCCAUGAUUUUAGUUUAGGUUAUUUACCUACAAGCAUAAACUACUACCGACUAUCAAGUAUAGUGGUUGGCAGUAUGUUUUCAUCCUUCCAUCUAUUGGUGAGUGGUGACUAUGUAUUUUGUUGCGCUAAGAAGUUUAUCCACUUUGGAUCAUAAAGUGAGUAUUGUUUGACAAAUGGUGCACUCUGUGGUGUUUUUCAGAUGAAAUUAAUGAAAAACAAUUAGUAUAUUAACUGUUUUUAGAAUUGGCUGAAGCAGACAGUGAGUCGUUUCUACUUUUCUUUGCUACUGAGAAAGUACUUUUCCUUUUUAACAAUAGUGUUGCAGGUAAACAUAUUCAUAUAUGUGAAUUGUGAAUAAUUGUGUUUUGUAAUAUGUUGUUGUGUGAUGUUACUGUUUAUAUGUCUAAAAGAAUUAGAUAUCAUGGAUUAUACUUGUUCACUUGUUCUUUGGUUCUGUUCAGUGAGAUCCUCCUGUUAUUGUUCAUUUUGUUAUUAAAAAAAGUUUGUUUAAAAAUAUUUUAGGAAUAAAUAAAUUUUAAAAUGUGAAAAAUAAUUUUAUUAAAUUAUUUUAUAUAGAAAUAUGCUUCUAAAUAAAAUUUCUGUUUUGCGAGACCCUUAAAAAUGUGGAUAUCAUAUGCGAUCCAAUCCAAUGAAAAUUGUGAGGAUUGGAUCCAAAUUACGGUCAUAUUUGAUUUUAUCUGCAUAUAUUCCUAAGUGGUUAUAUCAAUGGGUAUAUUCUAUCCAUGAAGUGCUUAAAAAAAUUAGUUUUAAAUACAUUUAGACUGUUUUGGCUAUUUAUUAUUGUACCCCAAACAUUUCUAUAAAAAUAUAUAGGGUUUAGCUAUUAUUAUAAGCUUAUCAUUUUUUUUAUAAGAUGGAGCAGCUAGAAAGUAUAAAGUUAUUAGGUAACAAAACAGAAAAUUAAACUGUAAUUAUCGGUAUUGUCAUCAACAAUUAGAAGGAUCAAAAUUAAUCUAUUCUUUGUAGUUUUUAAUCGACUUGUUGAUAACUUUCGCAACACCUACUUUUUUAUUUUUAAAUAUUCUGUUAUUCCUUUCUAGCAAAGUAUUCUAGAUAAUAGUACAAAACCCAUCAACAGACAAUGAUCCGAUAAACUUCUCUACCACUUUUUAAGUUACGUCUUAGAAAACUCUUCAACCCAUUCUACACUAACCAACACCCGAUCAAUGUGACUAUACGAUUGAUCCUGAACCAAGUAAACUUGCGGUCAUUUGUCUCUAAAUUCACCAGCUUUUAAAAUUUUUCGCUUUUCCGCUACUGCUAAUAAUGAAUUGGCUCCUUUCCUCUCAUCCACGGUUAAAGUCAUCCAUGUAGCAAAUUGGGACUUGACAUAACCCAAAUAGAUAAAACUCAACUCUUCCUACAUAGUCAGUUUGUCCUCUCUAGCAUGUGCACCGUACACCGAGUAAAUUGCACAAUUGAAAUUAUUAUUUGUCAACACCCUUUUCACACACAACCAUCUCUCCCCUUUAUAAUAAUUACUCGACUUAAACAUCAUGUCGUCCCACAUCAGCAAUAAAUCCUAGAAGCACCAUCCGAUCCCAUAAAUUCUCAACUCACAUCAUUUUCCUAAAUUUGCACUACAUCAAACUUACUCACCACCUAUUUCUUCGUUUUUAUCAAUCCUAACAUGUUUACCUUAUCUUUUCUCAUAAAAUUUUUCACCAUUUCCAACUUUUUGACACCCUUUAAACCCCUCGCAUUUAAAACAUAAUGGUACGUAUACGUUUUAUGGGUUAUUUCUCAGCAUUUCUACCUAUUUAAUUUCUUUUACCUUUGGUUUUAUUAUUCCUUGUCUUUUCUCAAUAAAAUAUGAUAUUAAUGUAAACAAUUUUAAGGGAUUUGAUCUCUGGGAUUAGAAUAUUUGUAAUAAAUGAAUGUUCCAACCCUUAAGGCUCAAUUCUACUAUUUGACCUUUAUCAUGGCCAAUGAGCAGAAACUAUGACAGUCCUUAAUGGAGUUCAAUAGCAGUUUAGGUGAUCUGAUGGAGCUUUAACCUCUAUUUUUUUAUGAUAGUGGUGUUGCCGAGGCUGCUUCAAUUGCCUAGACAUGAUCUGCGAUUGCAGAGGAAGCAUUCACCCUUUGCGGACUUCGCCCUAUACUCCUCGUUGCUGAGAUGCCUCAACCCAACGCCCCAUCAAUGGAUUUGGCACUGUAUCUGUCCGCUUGGUGCUGUCAGCUUCCCCAUUCCAUCCUGAUGAAUAUGGUGGAAGUGCUUAACCUUGUUCCAGGGAGCUCCACGGCCUCAUGCAGCAGUAUAAGUAGCAUGAUGGGAGGUGUUGUUGGGGGAGAUGUACCUUGGAAACUCUUUAACAAGGGCUCUUCUUUGGUUGAAGGAGGUGUUGUAUUUGUCACCCAUCAUACUGCAUUGGUGGUAUGAAGCUCAGAUGUUUGUGACAUCCUUUCUGUAUCAUCUACUGAAUAUGCUAAAUCUUUGUUAUGGUUACCACUAAGGCUACAUUGCUUGUUUACGCCCAACUUUAUAGGCCAGAUGGAAUUCGGGAGGGUUUAAUGCCAUAUACUGCAUGGAAAUACAAAUAGACAUAGACAUAACAAUACACAAUUUUUCUUGGUUUGUUUGGUAAAUAAUACACAACAUAAUACACAAA